rnacentral:rRNA from 1 species
AGUGAACGUUGGCGGCGUGCCUAACACAUGCAAGUCGAGCGCGUUUCGGGGGCAACCCCGGGAUGAGCGGCGAACGGGUGAGUAACACGUGGGUAAUCUCCCCCCGAGUGAGGAAUAAGCCCCCGAAAGGGGGUCUAAUACUGCAUAAUACCCAGGGGCAUAAGUUUCCUGGGUCAAAGCCGUAAGGCGCUUGGGGAUGAGCCUGCGUCCUAUUAGCUAGUUGGUAGGGUAAAGGCCUACCAAGGCGUAGACGGGUAGGGGACCUGAGAGGGUGGCCCCCCACACUGGCACUGAAACACGGGCCAGACACCUACGGGUGGCAG